rnacentral:rRNA from 1 species
AUUGAACGCUGGCGGCAUGCCUUACACAUGCAAGUCGAACGGUAACAGGUCUUCGGAUGCUGGCGAGUGGCGAACGGGUGAGUAAUACAUCGGAACGUGCCCGAUCGUGGGGGAUAACGGAGCGAAAGCUUUGCUAAUACCGCAUACGAUCUACGGAUGAAAGCAGGGGACCGCAAGGCCUUGCGCGGACGGAGCGGCCGAUGGUAGAUUAGGUAGUUGGUGGGAUAAAAGCUUACCAAGCCGACGAUCUGUAGCUGGUCUGAGAGGACGACCAGCCACACUGGGACUGAGACACGGCCCAGACUCCUACGGGAGGCAGCAGUGGGGAAUUUUGGACAAUGGGCGAAAGCCUGAUCCAGCCAUGCCGCGUGCAUGAUGAAGGCCUUCGGGUUGUAAACUGCUUUUGUACGGAACGAAAAGACUCUUUCUAAUAAAGAGGGUCCAUGACGGUACCGUAAGAAUAAGCACCGGCUAACUACGUG